UCCAAACGCAUGACUCUUCCUCUUUCGAACGGGCGAUCUUCCUUGCGAGAGCUCUUCCCUGUUUCGAAUGGCGCAAUAUUCCUCGCCAGAGAUCUGAAUCCUUGAAGAUUCAUCUCAAAUAGGGAAUUCUUACCACCACAGACCUCCACAUGCCUUUCAUAGCUCAAAGACUGCUCAAAUCGAGCAUAAAUAUUCUUGUGAAGACUUAGAACAGAUUUCUAAGGCUACCAUACAUAGAUUGAAUGUGCAGAUAGAAACUAGCCCAGGAACAACCUUAGAGAUGGUGAUGAUUCGAGAAAGGGUUGCAAGAUUGUUCUUUUGACACAAUUAAACUUUUCAUCCAGGACUUGACAGAAACAAUGAAAACUGCAUGCGUUUAUUGUGAGAGAUUAAGGUGAUCAAUUUUAGCACUAGUUGCUUCAUUAACAAAGCUCUCUUUGAGAAUGAGAUCACUGCCAUGGACAAUGAUCAUGCUGGUCAGCUUAUUUUUUGUGGUGAUGCCCAGGGAUGCAUAUACACUGUCAAUAUGAACUCCUACACAGGAGCACUAUCUAGGAUGCACCGCAAUCGAAGCAGUAGUAAGCGCAAGUCUCCAAUCACAACUGUGCAGUACCGUACCUUUUCUUUUUUGGCUAAUGUUGUAAUGCUGUAAUGUCAAUUCCUGUAGUGUUGCAUUGGAGAUACAGGGUUAUUUGACCCUCCGUUGUUCACUCAAAGUAGCUCCUCAGGUGCACGGUAUCCAUGCUUCCUUCUGUGCACUGCUUUCCCUAGAAAAAGGGGAAUUCAUAGGUUUGUUUAUCUUUAAAGAUAAUUAUUCGGUUAGAGUUUGCAUCCAAAUGAUAUGAUUUACAAUAAGUUCUAGAAUUAUAUUAUUAUUGUUUGUGUUU